UCCUACAACUGUGCCAUUGCCCUUCUGA
rnacentral:piRNA from 1 species